rnacentral:tRNA from 1 species
GGGGACAUUGCGUAACCUGGUAGCGCGAAAGGCUCCAGACCUUUAAGUCGGGGUUCAAAUCCCCGUGUCCCCA